GGGUUGUGAGGUUAAGCGACUAAGCGUACACGGUGGAUGCCCUGGCAGUCAGAGGCGAUGAAGGACGUGCUAAUCUGCGAUAAGCGUCGGUAAGGUGAUAUGAACCGUUAUAACCGGCGAUUUCCGAAUGGGGAAACCCAGUGUGAUUCGUCACACUAUCAUUAACUGAAUCCAUAGGUUAAUGAGGCGAACCGGGGGAACUGAAACAUCUAAGUACCCCGAGGAAAAGAAAUCAACCGAGAUUCCCCCAGUAGCGGCGAGCGAACGGGGAGCAGCCCAGAGCCUGAAUCAGUGUGUGUGUUAGUGGAAGCGUCUGGAAAGGCGCGCGAUACAGGGUGACAGCCCCGUACACAAAAAUGCACAUAUUGUGAGCUCGAUGAGUAGGGCGGGACACGUGGUAUCCUGUCUGAAUAUGGGGGGACCAUCCUCCAAGGCUAAAUACUCCUGACUGACCGAUAGUGAACCAGUACCGUGAGGGAAAGGCGAAAAGAACCCCGGCGAGGGGAGUGAAAAAGAACCUGAAACCGUGUACGUACAAGCAGUGGGAGCACGCUUCGGCGUGUGACUGCGUACCUUUUGUAUAAUGGGUCAGCGACUUAUAUUCUGUAGCAAGGUUAACCGAAUAGGGGAGCCGAAGGGAAACCGAGUCUUAACUGGGCGUUAAGUUGCAGGGUAUAGACCCGAAACCCGGUGAUCUAGCCAUGGGCAGGUUGAAGGUUGGGUAACACUAACUGGAGGACCGAACCGACUAAUGUUGAAAAAUUAGCGGAUGACUUGUGGCUGGGGGUGAAAGGCCAAUCAAACCGGGAGAUAGCUGGUUCUCCCCGAAAGCUAUUUAGGUAGCGCCUCGUGAACUCAUCUCCGGGGGUAGAGCACUGUUUCGGCAAGGGGGUCAUCCCGACUUACCAACCCGAUGCAAACUGCGAAUACCGGAGAAUGUUAUCACGGGAGACACACGGCGGGUGCUAACGUCCGUCGUGAAGAGGGAAACAACCCAGACCGCCAGCUAAGGUCCCAAAGUCAUGGUUAAGUGGGAAACGAUGUGGGAAGGCCCAGACAGCCAGGAUGUUGGCUUAGAAGCAGCCAUCAUUUAAAGAAAGCGUAAUAGCUCACUGGUCGAGUCGGCCUGCGCGGAAGAUGUAACGGGGCUAAACCAUGCACCGAAGCUGCGGCAGCGACGCUUAUGCGUUGUUGGGUAGGGGAGCGUUCUGUAAGCCUGCGAAGGUGUGCUGUGAGGCAUGCUGGAGGUAUCAGAAGUGCGAAUGCUGACAUAAGUAACGAUAAAGCGGGUGAAAAGCCCGCUCGCCGGAAGACCAAGGGUUCCUGUCCAACGUUAAUCGGGGCAGGGUGAGUCGACCCCUAAGGCGAGGCCGAAAGGCGUAGUCGAUGGGAAACAGGUUAAUAUUCCUGUACUUGGUGUUACUGCGAAGGGGGGACGGAGAAGGCUAUGUUGGCCGGGCGACGGUUGUCCCGGUUUAAGCGUGUAGGCUGGUUUUCCAGGCAAAUCCGGAAAAUCAAGGCUGAGGCGUGAUGACGAGGCACUACGGUGCUGAAGCAACAAAUGCCCUGCUUCCAGGAAAAGCCUCUAAGCAUCAGGUAACAUCAAAUCGUACCCCAAACCGACACAGGUGGUCAGGUAGAGAAUACCAAGGCGCUUGAGAGAACUCGGGUGAAGGAACUAGGCAAAAUGGUGCCGUAACUUCGGGAGAAGGCACGCUGAUAUGUAGGUGAAGUCCCUCGCGGAUGGAGCUGAAAUCAGUCGAAGAUACCAGCUGGCUGCAACUGUUUAUUAAAAACACAGCACUGUGCAAACACGAAAGUGGACGUAUACGGUGUGACGCCUGCCCGGUGCCGGAAGGUUAAUUGAUGGGGUCAGCGCAAGCGAAGCUCUUGAUCGAAGCCCCGGUAAACGGCGGCCGUAACUAUAACGGUCCUAAGGUAGCGAAAUUCCUUGUCGGGUAAGUUCCGACCUGCACGAAUGGCGUAAUGAUGGCCAGGCUGUCUCCACCCGAGACUCAGUGAAAUUGAACUCGCUGUGAAGAUGCAGUGUACCCGCGGCAAGACGGAAAGACCCCGUGAACCUUUACUAUAGCUUGACACUGAACAUUGAGCCUUGAUGUGUAGGAUAGGUGGGAGGCUUUGAAGUGUGGACGCCAGUCUGCAUGGAGCCGACCUUGAAAUACCACCCUUUAAUGUUUGAUGUUCUAACGUGGACCCGUGAUCCGGGUUGCGGACAGUGUCUGGUGGGUAGUUUGACUGGGGCGGUCUCCUCCUAAAGAGUAACGGAGGAGCACGAAGGUUGGCUAAUCCUGGUCGGACAUCAGGAGGUUAGUGCAAUGGCAUAAGCCAGCUUGACUGCGAGCGUGACGGCGCGAGCAGGUGCGAAAGCAGGUCAUAGUGAUCCGGUGGUUCUGAAUGGAAGGGCCAUCGCUCAACGGAUAAAAGGUACUCCGGGGAUAACAGGCUGAUACCGCCCAAGAGUUCAUAUCGACGGCGGUGUUUGGCACCUCGAUGUCGGCUCAUCACAUCCUGGGGCUGAAGUAGGUCCCAAGGGUAUGGCUGUUCGCCAUUUAAAGUGGUACGCGAGCUGGGUUUAGAACGUCGUGAGACAGUUCGGUCCCUAUCUGCCGUGGGCGCUGGAGAACUGAGGGGGGCUGCUCCUAGUACGAGAGGACCGGAGUGGACGCAUCACUGGUGUUCGGGUUGUCAUGCCAAUGGCACUGCCCGGUAGCUAAAUGCGGAAGAGAUAAGUGCUGAAAGCAUCUAAGCACGAAACUUGCCCCGAGAUGAGUUCUCCCUGACCCUUUAAGGGUCCUGAAGGAACGUUGAAGACGACGACGUUGAUAGGCCGGGUGUGUAAGCGCAGCGAUGCGUUGAGCUAACCGGUACUAAUGAACCGUGAGGCUUAACCUUACAACGCCGAAG
rnacentral:rRNA from 1 species